GCCAAUAGAUGUACUAAGGUGCUACAGCUGCAAGGUUGUCAUUCCCAAUUCAUCUGAUGAUGUCGCGAUACUCCAUGGUUACCAUUCCACACCAGUUAACCUUCUCUGCUCGUGAGCACGAGAAGAGGCAGUGUUAGAUAUCUUUGACCCUGGAUGAACGGAUUGGAAUAACUGUCGUUGGUAGGUGUUUGUUAGCCAAGACUCCAAAACAUGGAGUGUCCCAUGUAGCACCUUCGACGCAGAUUUUUUAACCUUCAUUAAGGUAGACAAAAGGUAGCUCUAUGAUCACGUUUACCAUUUGAAAACCCCAACGCCAGUCACCCUGCAUAUGUUUUUUUUUUUUUGAACUGGAAAGGCCUAGAAAGGCCUAGUACUGCAUUACUAUAGCGGUGCGGCAGUACAUUUUACCUAGGGACCCAUAAGAAACAUAGCAAAGACAACUAAGCCCCUGACUUUUACAAGGAGGACCCCAGAUUGAAAAUAAAAACGCGAUCGGGUCCUUUUCCAGCUUCUGCUCGGAUCCAACGUCGCCGCCGCCGGGGACGAACCACUUGGGGCGUCGAAGUCGCCAUGGCCGCAUCUCCUGCCCACCAUGGCCUCCAAGGAGGAGCUGAAUCUGCCUCCCAUUCGGCACGCAAGCCGGGAGGAAAAAGGUUGGCCGCCCUUUGGCCUGAAGAAGUGAAAGGAAGAUGAAGACCGGCAGCCUGCCGGCGUCGUAGCUCCACCAAAGAGUCCUUCGCUGAUGAGCUCGAACACGAUCUGCAGAGUGCAGCAACCUGCGUCGCCUUCCACCUUCACCUACCACCGCGGCAGCCUGAAGAAGAGAGCGCCGACAGCUAGGCUUCCUCCAGAUCAGGGGAGAGCACGAGCUUGUUCGAGAGGGAAAGCUCGCGCCAGAUCCGCCUCCAGUCGCCUCUGUCCUCCAUGGACAGCAGGUUGAGGAAGCAGCCGGCGACCACCGGGCACGGCUCGCUCGUGCCGGUGGAGAGCAGGAUAACGGCAUGUCGCCAGACGCCGCUGAGGCAAAACACGACCUAGAUCUAGCUAUACUAAUACUACUAUGAACAAGGGGGAGCCAGCCACUUAAUCCAUCUUCCCGCCGGGCAGCAGAGCCGCCGGAGAGAGCGAGGGAAAGGGGCGGCGAUGGGAGACUUUGGAUGACUCUCAAUGUGGCCUGCAUAUGUUUUUCAUUUCUAUCAUUUUCGGGAAAUCAAUCCCAUUCUAAAAGAGAGGUAAAUUCUACUACCACUGUUCCUACAUAUAAGAUAUUUUGGCAGUUUAAAUUAAAC
rnacentral:rRNA from 1 species